rnacentral:misc_RNA from 1 species
CGCAAAAUGGCAGCCUCCAUGAGUUUUUGUAAUUUUUGCGAUAUUUUAGUUGAUUUAGCGUCGUUUUAACGUAGAUAUAACUAAAUUUUUGAAAGUGAUUAAAGGGGAAAGAAGUGUCAUAAGACGAGAUGAAUUCUGCCAAAGCUCCUAUAAGCCAGCACAGAAAAAAAAAAUAUGUGUUUAAAGAAAGAGAAGCACCAUUUCCUGUGCCAAUAGCAUCGAUUACAAGAGAGACACCAAGUGAAAACUACUGGUACCAUUAUACAGGUCAGAUACAGGGAGACCAUGUAAUUGUUACUCACUCUGGUGAUAUUUCCUACCUCAAUAGAAUGGGUUAUUUUGGAAGAGGCCUGAUGUCUAGGGGAGCACCUGCUGUAUACAAGGAUCUGCCGUAUGUUCACCUUCCAUCUGCUGGGUCAGAGGAGCCUGAUGUUGUACAUGUAAUGAGGAGAAGAAUGUAUCUCAAACAUAUGAAAUGGAGAAAGGCGCAUGACAUAAGAUUGUCAAGUAAGGAGGGUGAAGAUGAUUCAGACAGACAAUCUGUUGCACCUGAAGAUGAGGAAUACAACAGUGAUGUAGAAUAUUUUCAUCCAGAUUACAUGCAUAGAGAUGAUAUGAAGUCAAAUAUUUCUCAUCUGAAUACAACUUCUGUGAGAGAAAAUAUUCCUGGUACUUCUUCAGCUGUUAAUGAUACUGACAUUUCUGGGCAACAGAAUAAUAGUUUGGCCUUGAAUGCUGACUCAGCCAAUCAGAAAUCUUCUAUUUGGUCAUGGAAUGAGGAAUUAUCCAAUCAGAAAACCAGCAACGACUUUUUAGAUAACUCAGCAGCCAAUGAAAAAGAAGCUACUGAUGCAUGGGAUAAGAUGGAAGCUGAUGAAGACUUUUGGGCAAGUGGAGAUAUGCCAGAUGAUAAAGAUAAAUCCAAAGAAAAUAGCAAACCUGUUGAAGGGGAAACUGUAUUUAAUAAUGCAGACUAUUGUAAUGUUCCAAAUGUUGCAAAGAAGAGAGAUCAAGAUGACAUUGAUGGUCCACUUGAAGUACCCGUUAAAAAAAUAAAAUUGUCUAAUGAAAUAAAUGAUGCAGAUGACUCAGAAAAAAUUAAUCAGUCAAGUUGUCAGUCAUUACCUCAAGGAUAUGCACUCACAGAUGAUGGAAGUAAAAGCGAAUGUCCAAGUAAUCAGAAUUAUAGUGUAACUAAUGAUACGAAAGUUAGUGAAAGUAAGGUUCUUGAAGGAGAAAGUAAAAAUGUUGUAGAAAGAAUUAAAGUUGAUGCACAAAAUAUAGAAAGAACUAUAAUUGAGGAAAGAAAUAAUGAAAAGGGAACAUCAGACAAUAGUGAAAAUGCUGGAAAAAAUAGUGAAUCACACAUUGACAAAACAAAUUUAACAGAGUCAUUACCUAUUCAUCCUUAUUCUAGACAAGAUGAUGGUGAUAAUAAAGAUGAUGAGACUGCAGUAGCAGGUGAUGAAUUUCUUGUGAUAGAUGACUCUGAUAUAGAUGACAGCACCGAAAUAGUGCACAGAAAGGAAAAAUAUACAUGGACACCUGUCAGGAAGAAAGAAAUAUUUAACUUCAAUGAACCACUGGUGUUGAGUUUUGAAGAGGCAUAUUUCCUGUGCUAUGGUCUUGGUUGUUUUACGGUUCUAGAUGAGAAAGAGACCAGUCUUACGCUAACCGAUCUCUGGUGUAGAUUUUGUAACAAGCAGCAGUUUCUGCCCAGAUAUGUAGCAUAUCAUUACUUCCGGAGUAAAGGAUGGGUUCCUAAACCAAGCCUCUUGUUUGGAACAGACUUCAUUGUGUACAAAGUCGGACCAGAGUUUUACCAUGCAUCUUAUUCUGUGAUUGUGAAGACAGUUUACGAAGGUACAUUUAAAGAAGUGGAGAGUUACAACAGCAGGAAGUUAAACUGGACAAGUAUGUUUGGUCUCAACAGAGUUACAGAACAUGUUGCCAAGGUAACAGAUGUUUUACUUAUACAUGUAUCUGUAACAGGUCUCACCUGUGAGGACAACCAAACAUGUUGUUAAGACUCUGGUAUACUGUUAUGUGAUCAUGCCGAGGGAUCUAAGUGAUGAAGAAAGAAAAUCACCGGAAUGUAUAGCAAGGUUUAAAGUUAGGUUACAGACAGUGCAGAGAUGGGUCUCAUCUCAAGAAAGAGAUAAGGACAAAGUUGUAGACGAUAUAACAUGAAUUCUAUUUUUACUGGAAAAAUAGUAGACAUAAUAAAAUUUGAUAUUUUAAA